rnacentral:rRNA from 1 species
CCUGCACGAAUGGCGUAACGACUUCCCCACUGUCUCCAGCAGAGACUCAGCGAAAUUGAAUUCUCCGUGAAGAUGCGGAGUUCCCGCGGUCAGACGGAAAGACCCCGUGCACCUUUACUACAACUUUGCAGUGGCAUUAGAACAGGCAUGUGUAGGAUAGGCGGGAGGCUAUGAAACGUUGGCGCCAGCUGGCGUGGAGCCACCCUUGAAAUACCGCCCUUGUACUGCUUGAUAUCUAACCGCGGCCCCUUAUCGGGGUCCGGGACCCUGCAUGGUGGGUAGUUUGACUGGGGCGGUCGCCUCCCAAAUCGUAACGGAGGCGCGCGAUGGUGGGCUCAGGUCGGUUGGAAACCGACUGAUAGAGUGCAAUGGCAUAAGCCCGCCUGACUGCGAGAGUGACAAUUCGAGCAGA